UCCCGGCGUUUUGCAUUUGCGCCGAUCUGCAUUUCAUUUGCGCCGAUUUUUUCUUUCACUUGCGCCGAUUUUUUUUUUCAUUUGCGCCGAUUUUUUUACAGGUAAAUUACAGGUGAAUAGAUAUAAGAAGAUGUGGUAUGAGUGCCAAUGAGAGAACUCUCCAUCCUAGUCAUGUUAUUUUUCAUUUAUCAUUAUAGACCUCUUCCGUUAGCCACUUGUACAAAUUUAAUGAAUUGUUAAUCAUAACAUGUAUAUAACUGUUGUCCCCUAAUCACCAUGGGGAGGUGGAAGAAGGCCUACAAGAUACAUCUCCUAACUUUUUCCUUCACCGUACCCAUAGUUCUUUAGCCUCUGUCUUUCGGACAUCUGCCACAUGAUUAUGCUCGUUCUGUGUUUUGACAAUAGAAUCCGUGGUGACUCUGGCUUUACACGAUUUUAUGGUACAUUUGUAGGAUAUGUUGUUAUGUUUCAGGACACUAACCUUCCAAUAUGUAUGGCCCUCUUUGGCUCGUUUCAGUGUGCAAUAUGUCCAUCGUGUUACAACGAAGUUCCAGAACAAUAUGAAUCAAAAUUAACAUAAAUGAACAUCAUUUAUAACCAGAUUUUACCAAUGGUAUUAUAUAGUAUAGUACAUUUUUGUACAUGUACAAGUAUUAACGUACCUGUAAACCUAAUUAGGAGCAAAUAUAAAAUCGGCGCAAAUGAAAAAAUGAAAUCGGCACAAAUGAAAAAAUGAAAUCGGCGCAAAUGAAAGAAUGAAUAUUUUCAAAAUCGGCGCA
rnacentral:lncRNA from 1 species